rnacentral:rRNA from 1 species
CGAAGGGGCGAAGCGUUGCUCGGAAGUCACUGGGCGGUAAAGACGCACGUAGGCGGAUUGUUAAGUCAGGGGUGGAAAUCCUGGAGCUCAACUCCAGAACUGCCCUUGAUACUGGCGAUCUUGAGUUCGAGAGAGGUUGGUGGAACUCCGAGUGUAGAGGUGAAAUUCGUAGAUAUUCGGAAGAACACCAGUGGCGAAGGCGGCCAACUGGCUCGAUACUGACGCUGAGGUGCGAAAGCGUGGGAGCAAACAGGAUU